rnacentral:rRNA from 1 species
ACGUACACUCCUACGGGAGGCAGCAGUGGGGAAUCUUGCGCAAUGGGCGAAAGCCUGACGCAGCCAUGCCGCGUGAAUGAUGAAGGUCUUAGGAUUGUAAAAUUCUUUCACCGGGGACGAUAAUGACGGUACCCGGAGAAGAAGCCCCGGCUAACUUCGUGCCAGCAGCCGCGGUAAUACGAAGGGGGCUAGCGUUGCUCGGAAUUACUGGGCGUAAAGGGAGCGUAGGCGGACAUUUAAGUCAGGGGUGAAAUCCCGGGGCUCAACCUCGGAAUUGCCUUUGAUACUGGGUGUCUUGAGUAUGAGAGAGGUGUGUGGAACUCCGAGUGUAGAGGUGAAAUUCGUAGAUAUUCGGAAGAACACCAGUGGCGAAGGCGACACACUGGCUCAUUACUGACGCUGAGGCUCGAAAGCGUGGGGAGCAAACAGGAUUAGAUACCCCUGUAGUCCC